CUGCCUGGCACUCAGGGACUGGAGUCUAACACAGCAGGAGGCAGUCAAGGCAAGUCUGUGAAGCUGCCUGACUACAAGCAGAAGGCAGCACCUGACAUCCACCCCUCCUCCUCCUGGGAGCUAUGAUCAUCCGCCUCAGGCACUUAACCCCGGGGUACUUCCGCUUGCUCCAGAUGCAGCUGGCCGGGGGGCUGGAGUCCAAACCUAAAGACCGUCUGGUGAAUCACUUGGCUCUAGUCUUGGCUAUCAUGGGGCUAAGUCUGUCCUACUACAGCGUCCGCCAAAUGACCGAGCCGGUUAAAACCCCACCAGAACAGUGAGGCUCAUCCAUGUGGAUGGAGUGCUCUAGAUCUAAGGAGAUUCCAGCAGCUCUGAGGUGGUGGUGGGGACUAGGUCUUGGGUCUGGCAUUCACUCGGUGACAUCAUGCUCCAGUCCUGCUCUCAUACUAGGGUCAGCUACAUCCUCCUCCCUCGGUCUGUAGUGGAAGGUUAGUCGCAGGCUUCCCUCGCACUGCUCUCCUGGACCCAGGCUAAAAGAGUAGCUAGAAGCAUCUCCCAACUUGCUUUGUGCUGGCUUGAAAGGGAUCGCUCGGUACAUACUCUCUGGGCCAUCCCACUUUUCCUAGCCUCUCACUGUUGUUGCUGUCCAGGGUCCUUGAGUAAGUGAAGCAAACACACCUGUCACACCCCUUCCAGAGUUUCUCAUGGAGUUACACCAGUUUGGGCCAAUGGAUUUCAUUGCGAAGUCCUACCCCAUCCACGGACCACCCCAGCACCUGUCCAUGCUGUCCUUCCACUACAUGCACAACUAAGCUACUAAAUGAAAGGCUAGACCAUCUCCCUGAAGCUCUACCAGAGCUCAUGACAGAAGGCUGGGGAACCUACUUCCAUAUGGGAGGCCGGAUUCUAAGCUUCAGUGGGAGGUCUCCCACUUUAUACAGAAGUGAGAUCCGACUCGGGCCCUGUGGGAGACAGAAGACAAGACUCAUUCCCACAGGUUGGACAGAUAUAUAUAAAGUACGAUCUGCAGGAACUGAGGCUGAAAGGGUAGAAGGCAUCCUCCCAGGCCAGGGGUAGAAUCCACCUUGGCAGCUUACCAGUCACCCUGGCUUAUGAGACUUCCAGCAAGAGGUUUCCAGACAGCAACUUCCACCUCACUGGUUGCACUUGUGUGUCCCUCUCUAAACCAGUGCGAUGGGGUAUGACAGGCGGAAUGCGCUGCAUUGACAGCAAGAGAGAAUUUACACAUGGUUGACUGAGCCCUUUUAUCAUCUCCUCCCCCCGCCCAGCUCAGCCAGGAGCAGUGCAUCAUAGGAUAGCAAAACAAGCUGGAACAAGGUCAUUGCCGAUUGCUGUUAUAUAACAGCGCACACAAUGAGAUGGCUGGGACCUAAAUCAUGCUGUUAAACUACAGAUUAGAAAGGGGGAUUUUCAAGAAGUCCAGACUGGCCGACAUGGACUACUUAAUUGCAGCAAUUGCGUGAGGACACUUUCAUGGAGCAAUUAGUACAUGUCUCUUCCCCCCCGCACCAGGGACAGGUACACUUCACCUUCUCAGACAGCAUCAGGCUAAUCUUCACACCCAUCACCUCUCUGAAAACUUCUACCGCUGUGGCCCGCCUGCUAGGUUUAAGCUGCUAACAGGGAAGCCUAGAUGUUAAUACAAGACAUUUCUAAAUUUUGAUCAUCUAUCUCACCCUCCCCUAUACCUGGGGAGGGGAGAACUGAGGAAAUAAUUUGGUGUAUGUUAAAUAAAUCCCUUUAUAUUAAGUGACCUGCCUUGUCUCAUCCUUUUGCCACCCCACCUCCAUGUGGCCAGUAGAGUAUACACGGUCAGGUGAUAAAAACGUUACAAAGACCUGGGGUGGGUUCCCCACCCUUGGGGGAGGGGAGAACUGAAGAUGUUUAAUCUCCACUGACACACUGCGGUGGCCGGCAUUAGCUGAACUUGCUUUGCAGGGACUUACAGCAGACAGUGGCAUUCCCCACAUUCCACCCUGCAGAUCAAGCGAUUAUCCUAACACAGGCUAUGUGUUUUCUAGAAAGCGCCUCCCUGUUUGAGGGGCUCAGUAAAAAUCCAAAAAUCCAAAACCAAGCCAAGUACCCAGCUAUGCUGUGGCAGCAUAUUGGCAUGUGCCACCCAAUAUUAUCCGACAUCUGGUGGAACAGGGCUGAAUUUGUUAGUCCCCUACUUGUAAAGUGGGUCAGCGCGGACUCUGCCUACCCUCUCUAUGAGCAGUGUGUCCCUCCUCUUAGGCAACUGAUCUCACCCAAAACAGCUCCCUGACUGGAAGGCGAUCUCCCACAAUCAAAUGACUCUCAGUGGGUUUUAAAGUUUCAUAUGCAAUUUGUAUCCAUCCCUAGCAAUGUGAUGAGGUUAGGCUCAGCUGGGUUGGGGCAGUCUUUCAGCGCACUCCUCUUGAUAGAAGAGAAGGGAAGGAGCUUAGUAAGUCAUCCUCCCAUAUCAGGGAAGAGUUAACUAGACGCACGAAGAGGGCAGAAAGGAAAUUGUUUGAGAUGUUAAAACAUCUGCCAAAGGAAAUAUAUUAAGAAUAAAUAUAGUGGGAAUUUAGCAGUGACCAAGCUGCAAGGCUGCUCAGACCUCUUUUCUAGGCGCCCCACAAACAAGGAUAGGCGACUUCAAGCAACUAAUUCAAACAGUCAUCAUGAACGAUCAAGCUGGUGGCAUUAGCCCCAGUCCAGGUAGCUGGUUGGUGAAAGGGCUGUUUUUGCUAACAAUUCAGCUCAGCUCAUUUUCCAAACUGAGUGCCUACAACUCAAUCUGGAUCAAACUGGCAAGGAAUGUUCUACAGCUCCUUCAGCAGCUGCCAGCUUGAUUGCUAAAAUAGUUUGAUGGGUGAUUUCAGAGGUCACACUCUGAGCCAAGAGCUGCAUCCACUGCUUAAAAUACCAACACAAAGAGAAAAGACUGUAACAAUCAGGUCACUAUCAUAGCAGGACGUUGCUUAUCCUUUCCCUGGACCUCUGGCUGCACUGUAUGUCCAUGUUGCCAAUGAAAACAUAAUGCACAAUAUCUGCCAAAGCAAGAGGGUCCAAAGGUCUCCGCUGGUCAGU